UGGAAUAUGAUCGUGGUUUUAUUUUGUUGGUUUUAGAGACCAAGAUAAUGAUCAAUGGGAGCAACUGGGGGCAUUCGUAUUGCGACGUUAGAGGUGAAAUUCUUGGAUCGUCGCAAGACGGACCACUGCGAAAGCAUUUGCCAAAGGUGUUUUCAUCAAUCAAGAACGAAAGUUAGAGGUUCGAAGGCGAUUAGAUACCGCCCUAGUUCUAACCAUAAAUGAUGCCAGCCAGCGAUCCGCCGACGUUAACUUUAAUGGCUCGGCGGGCAGCUUACGGGAAACC
rnacentral:rRNA from 1 species